rnacentral:lncRNA from 1 species
GUGGGUGAGGUGGGCUGCUGAAUUCUUUCUAUUUCAAUUGUAUUGAGGAGCUUUCGAGAUUUUCCAUUUUUGUUUUCUUUCAUCAUCCAUCUAAGUGUAAAAGCUAGCUGUCAUUUGGAAAAGUUGGGAGGAGACGGCAUUUAGAGACAAACUACAACCUUCAAAUAGAAAAAUGUACAUUUAAACUCUAAAAUUUCAAAGAAGUUAGUUUGCAAAUUGGUUGUUUUUCAAGAAAUGACUCAUUUCUUCAAGUGGUUUCGACUUCCUAUUAUCUGGAUUUGAUCCAUCACUUAUGUCAGAUCAACUAAGCCUGGUCCAUCAUGGUUACAAAGUGCCCAGCCUGGCACCAUGCAUGGUAUGCGGAGACCAAAGCCAAGGGGCUGUUUUCCUGCGGGAAUUUACACUGAUUCGAAGAGAGAGCCUCCAUGAAGAUUUCCUGUCUGACCUCUUGAAUAGUCACAAAACUGAAGACUCGGCAACAAUUUUUCUACUUAAAGAAGGACUAUCAGCCAUGAAUAGAUCUAAGCUGAAGUGGAAAAAAAAGUGAUCUGAAUAUGUAAAGUCACUCAAGAAAGUAUCCAUAUUGGUUUCCUGCAAAAUUCCUUUGGAGGCUUCCUGGACGUUGCAUUCCGAAAGCAUCUUACGGAACAUGGUGUCGUCUUCACUACGUCAUGACCGCCCUGCCAGGGACUUGUGUGUCCUGCAUUGGCAAAUUCCAAGUCCCUCAUCAUGGUCUAGAAACAAAUCACCCCCGGUUCCUAUGUCUUCAUUUUCCUUUCAUGUGUUCCAGUAAGGCAUUAAAGAACAGAUAACACUGUAACAC